ACGCAGUUUUCUACAGGGAUUCAGUGAGAAGAGACUCCUGCAGAAAUAAAUGUGGUUUACUAGUCGUUUAUUGAAAGUGAGUUAAAAUCACCGCAAGCACAUUGUGGUUGUAAACUUUAGCCACUAGCCAUUUUGUGGCUAAAAAUAUGAAUGAUGGAUACAUUGGGCGGACAUAGCCUAUGCUUUUCAGGGUUAAAGUGCCAAAAGUUGAUGUCACGUAACAUCAGUGGAGGAGGAUGAAAACAGGGCAGGAGUGAGAGGUGGCGGAGAGACAAAUUGCCUUCUCACAAGGAAGCACGCGCAGACACAAGCACAUGGAUGCAUGGAUGUGUUUAUAAAGGUUAUGUCAUCAUUUAACAGGAACUCACACACAGACACAAGAUGCAAUGAGUCAACCAGAAUGUGUUCAAGAGAAAGAGCUGAAUCACAGGGAGUCUCAUGAAAAUAAGUCCCACGUAAGCACAACCUUGUUCAACAUACACACACACAGAAUCGAUGCAUGUGGCCUUAUGCUGACAGUAUCUCUAUCAGAAAGCCUAAAAAAAGAAAAUCUUAUGUUGUUUUAAACAUGCAAGCCUAAUCCACAUUUAAACAUUUUCUCAA